GCUGCCAGUCACCGGUGCUCCCGGCAGUGCGAACUUCCUAAUGACCUGCAGGGUUACAGACCAUCUGUGCUCAGGACACUCAUUGGCCAGCACUGUCCUUAGCAAAACCCAGUCUCCAAGGAGUCAAGCAAACUAAAGAUAACGAACAAAAAAAGAGAACAGAAGGGCAAACUCUCGGAGGUCCUGAAUUACAG